rnacentral:rRNA from 1 species
UACAGAGGGGGCAAGCGUUGGUUCGGAAUUACUGGGCGUAAAGGGCGCGUAGGUGGCCUUCUAAGUCGAACGUGAAAUCCCUGGGCUCAACCCAGGAACUGCGUCCGAGACUGGGAGGCUUGAAUCCGGGAGAGGGAUGCGGAAUUCCAGGUGUAGCGGUGAAAUGCGUAGAUAUCUGGAGGAACACCGGUGGCGAAGGCGGCAUCCUGGACCGGUAUUGACACUGAGGCGCGAAAGCC